rnacentral:rRNA from 1 species
AGAACGAACGCUGGCGGCGUGGAUAAGACAUGCAAGUCGAACGGGCUUAAUUUUAGAGCAAUCUAGGGUUGAGCCAGUGGCGAACGGGUGCGUAACAUGUGAGUCAUCUGCCUGAAAGUGGGGGAUAGCUCGCCGAAAGGCGAAUUAAUACCGCAUGUGGUUGUGAAACCAAAGCCGGGGCAACCUGGCGCUUUUAGAGGAGCUCGCGGCCUAUCAGCUUGUUGGUGAGGUAACAGCUUACCAAGGCAACGACGGGUAGCUGGUCUGAGAGGACGACCAGCCACACUGGAACUGAGACACGGUCCAGACUCCUACGGGAGGCAGCAGUGGGGAAUUUUGCGCAAUGGGGAAACCCUGACGCAGCAACGCCGCGUGGAGGAUGAAGUCCCUUGGGACGUAAACUCCUUUCGAUCGGGACGAUUAUGACGGUACCGAGAGAAGAAGACCCCGGCUAACUUCGUGCCAGCAGCCGC